rnacentral:rRNA from 1 species
AGCGAACGCUGGCGGCAGGCCUAACACAUGCAAGUCGAACGAACCCUUCGGGGUUAGUGGCGGACGGGUGGGUAACACGUGGGAACGUGCCUUUAGGUUCGGAAUAGCUCCUGGAAACGGGUGGUAAUGCCGAAUGUGCCCUUCGGGGGAAAGAUUUAUCGCCUUUAGAGCGGCCCGCGUCUGAUUAGCUAGUUGGUGAGGUAAUGGCUCACCAAGGCGACGAUCGGUAGCUGGUCUGAGAGGAUGACCAGCCACAUUGGGACUGAGACACGGCCCAAACUCCUACGGGAGGCAGCAGUGGGGAAUCUUGCGCAAUGGGCGAAAGCCUGACGCAGCCAUGCCGCGUGAAUGAUGAAGGUCUUAGGAUUGUAAAAUUCUUUCACCGGGGACGAUAAUGACGGUACCCGGAGAAGAAGCCCCGGCUAACUUCGUGUCAGCCGCCGCUGUAACAC